rnacentral:rRNA from 1 species
GAUGAACGCUGGCGGCGUGCCUAAUACAUGCAAGUAGAACGCUGAAGGCGGAGCUUGCUCUUCUGGAUGAGUUGCGAACGGGUGAGUAACGCGUAGGUAACCUGCCUGGUAGCGGGGGAUAACUAUUGGAAACGAUAGCUAAUACCGCAUGACAACAGUUAUUGCAUGAUAACUGUUUAAAAGGGGCAACUGCUCCACUACCAGAUGGACCUGCGUUGUAUUAGCUAGUUGGUGAGGUAACGGCUCACCAAGGCGACGAUACAUAGCCGACCUGCGAGGGUGAUCGGCAACGCUGGGACUGGGAGAUGGCCCAGACUCCUGCGAGAGGGAGCAGGAGGGGAUCUUCGGGAAUGGAAGGAAGGGUGAACGAGCGACGCCGGGCGAGUGAAGGAGGUAUUCGGGCCGUGAAGGUCAGGAGGGAGAGAAGAAUGAGUGGGAGUGUGGAAAGUGAAGAUUGUGACGGUACCUGAAGAGAAAGCGACGGCUAACUACGUG